GGCCCUACAGCAUAAGGAUCAUAAACUAGAUCACCAAAUCCAUCAACCUGGGAUCUUUUACAGCCAUACGUAGGCAGGUGAAGAGCUGCCCAGCUAAAAUAAGCAAGAACUGUGAGGUGAAGCCUGUUCCGGAGGUGCAGCCACUGAAGAGAAAGGGAAUCCCUGUNUUUUUUUUUUCAGAAGAGAAACAUUUAAUGCCCCACAGCAACAAUCAAUCUGCGGAAGCAAUACUUCAGAGAAGGAGACAUUAAACCUUGAUGUGUUAGAAAGGCUGAAGCAGCUGGAAAAAGAAUGUAGUGUGAAUAGAUCUUGGCGUGAUGGUUGUGAGGCUCGACUUCAAUUUCUGGAGCAGUGCUACAGUGCAUUUUAUGGAAGGGUCAUCCAAAAAGAGGUUCCAGAGAAAGAAGAAUGUGAGAAGCUCAAAGAGAGGGUCAGAGUUCUAGAGGCACGAAACCAAAAGCUCUUGUCUCAGGCAAUGAGCACACACAAGCAGUCAGAGAACAUGAAUGACCCUUUCCGCUUGUCUGCUGUGCUGGAAAUGUUUAAGAAGCUUAAGCUACAAGAAUGGGGAAAGUGCUGGAGCAGCUCAGCCCGUUGGUCCUAUUCAAGGGCCAGCAACAUAAUUAAGAAGCUGUUUGAUGCCUGUGAGAGAGAUAUCAAGAAGAGAAAAACUAGCAUUCUUGAAACCCUUGGCUUUCCGCCUUCAUAUAUUGCUGCGAAUACCUGCAAACAAGUACUUAAUAUCUUUGUGUAACUGUGCCCAGGCAGUGGGAUAACAGGGCUAUCUCUAUUUAGAACUCAGCUUCUGCUACGGAUGCUGUUCAAAGUAUACUGGCAAUGACAGUGGGGACAAGUUACGAGCUGAGAGGGAUGGGAGAGUGGAAAGUCGAGCUUCAGCAACCCUUCUGUGUCCUGCAGACACACGCUGCAUGGCUGAAUUGCAUCUGAGGCACGUUUACAAAUGCAGAAAGCAUUUCCCAGAUGCAUGUUGCUUUUAUGGGAUCUUUCUCCACAGCCUGAAGCUGGAAGCCUCUCUAUUUCUAACUGACAUGAUCUGAAAAACACAAACUCCCAGUGCUCAGGGAGUGAACUGCUUGGGUCACAUGCUAACAGUCUGCUUUGUGCUGUGCUUGGUUUUUAGGAGCUGAUGUCAGAUAUAAUGAAACUCUUAAGAUAUGGUUAUUACCAUAAUGACUCAUGCAUUCGCGAAAUNUGGACGGUUGGACUAGAUGAUCUUAGAGGUCUCUCCCAGUCUUAAUGAUUUAAUGAUUCUAUACUGUCAGAUAACACUGUUAUCUCAGCAUCAGACCUCUGCCACCCUGUGGAAGCACCUACCUCCUCACCAGCUGUGGGCUCCUCCUCUGAGCAUCUCUGAACUGCACUUUGACGGGACCCCUAACAGCAGUGGGGUCUCUGCCUUCCUCUGAGCACUACCUACAGUCACUACACAAACUGCAGGCUCUUGCUUGCUGCCAAUGAAAAAGCAGUGAGGAUACAGAUGACCUGCAUGGGAAAAAGGUAUCUCUCUAGGGCAAAAAAGUGCUUAGCUGAGAAAGAGAACAAGGAACAACAACAACAAAAAACAACAAAAAAAAAAACCCUGAGCUCAGAGAAGCUAUGGACUCACACAAGACAGGUGUGCGUGGCUGUGAGACACAGACACAAAGGCUCACCCUAAUAUGCCAAAGGACUUUUCAUGACCACAUAAAUGCUGCCUGCCUCCAGGCUGGUGGGAGGCAAGUCUAUAUCCAUAUGUGUAUACCUUAACAACUCUCAGAUGGCAAAGAACAGGAGCAUCUCACAGAGGGAUGACGAAGGAUGGCAAUCUAAGUUUACUCACCCCUGUCAGAAACAUUAGCCAAGUGAGUUAGAUCCUCAGCCUCAGCCUCUGAAAGUAUUCUUCCAUUUUUACACUAUCAUCCUACCAGUGAUGCACUUCCUGAAGAACAGUGGCUUUUAAUCAGCUGCAUGGGGUGGAACUUGUUGCCAUCUCAACCCUUCAGACCUUGAUGCGAAUCUGUCUGUCUGUUCCCACCAAAGAUCUAGCCCAGGUGUUCUCCUCCCUUCUGCUCUCCCCACUGUCCUCAAAGGUAGGAAGAGCCUGUUCCAAGCAAAAGUUAAAUUUAAAUAUCUCUCAUAUGCUGGUAGGAACAUUAGCAGUCUACUCAGUGCUCCACUUGACUAAAAAAAUACUUUUGCUAGUACCCUUAUUGAAGCAAAAGAGGUUAGAUCAUACCACUGAGCCACAGUGUUAAAUAAUAACAUAAAUAAUGCAGCAGAUAGAAGCCUUCUCCAUCCUUAUGGGUCUUCAUGAGGUUAUUCUAUGGACCUUGUUAUUCAGUUUGCAUACUAGUAAGCUGCAGGGCCAACCAGGACAGGCAAAUUGUUGAGUAUCCUGCUUCUGGCUUCUCCUGCACAGUGCACAUCCAGGUGUCGGUGCC
rnacentral:lncRNA from 1 species